rnacentral:rRNA from 1 species
AUGUCGAAGACGCCACUAAAAGUAAAAAUCUUCAUGUGGUAUCUUCGAAGGGGGGUUGUGCUAACCAAAGACAAUCUCGCUCGUCGCAAUUGGCAAGGAAGUAAGGAGUAUAGUUUUUGUACUCGUGACGAGACAAUGAAACACCUCGUUUUUCAAUGCAAGUUUGCGCAUUCUACGUGGCCAGUUAUCCAAAUAGCAUCCAAUUUGUAUCCGCCCACAAGUGUUGCCAAUAUUUUUGGUCAUUGGUUGGAUGUAAUUUCAAAUAGGUUCAAAACACUAAUUCGGGUAGGAGCAUAUGCCUUAUUAUGGGCGCUUUGGCUAUGUAUAAAUGAUUUGAUUUUCGAGGGCCAAAACACCUCCCCUUUGCAGGUUAUUUUCCGCUGUACGCAUUCGCUUCGUACGUGGUCUAUGCUACACCGAACGGAGUACCAACCGGUAUUCAAGGUGGUGUGUAUGCGGCCGGAGCGGGUGGCCAGGGAGGUCUUUACCCAGCAUGGGUGGCAACAUAAAAUCUUUGGAUUGCUGCACCACCUCCUUUAA